CAUUAGUUAUGUCUCUAAUGGCCUGGGAGGUGUUAACUUCCUUCUGUCCAGGCCUCGCUCACAGCGACAGGAGCACCGUCUGGGGCCCUUGCCUCCUGGGUCCCACUUCUAGGGAGACUCCCCCUUGCUUUGUAAGUAGGACCCAGGACGCGCUCUUGGAGCAGCAUAACAGAGACUGGAGGCUGGAGACAGCACAGCCCCCCCGGAGGUCUGCAUUACAUGUAUUGAAUUUGGAGACAUGCAAAAUAUUUUCUGGCUCAGGGUUCAUCGCGGGGGAGCUGAACAGUGCUCAGCCACACAGCCCCUGCCGGCCUGCACAGUGGGUGAGUGGAGCCUGCCUCCGAGGACACUCCUGCCUUCCCCUGAUGCCCCACCAAAGGGGACAGGAGCCAGUUAUCUCUGUGGCCCCCUCUCCCACCUUCGGCUCUGAUCCUGAGUCUGCCUGCUUGAGCCUCCUUCCCCAGAACGUUCCGUACCCAUCAGUGCUGCUCACGUGGGCCGGGGCGCCGUGGUCUGAAAGGUGGGGCACGGCCAGACCGCCCAGCCCCUCCCCGGCCCGGCUCUAGAGGAACCCUGCUGCGGUGGCUCCUGGCAAGGCAGCGGUGUCCCCCCCACCCCUGUCCCCGAGGCGGCCUGCCCCGCCCCCUUCCUGCUUCCUCUGUGCUGCUGAGUCACGUCCCAGCCCCGCUCGGGCGGUUAUGACUUGUGGUUGGUCAGAAAUGUUUCUGGUUGAGUUGUGGGUGGCUGAAUGUCCUUCCUGCCCCUGGAGAGGAAA